GACAGAGGUUGCAAACGUUGUUCGGAAUUACUGGGCAUAAAGCGCGCGUAGGCGGUCCGUUAAGUCAUGUGUGAAAUCCCCCGGCUCAACCGGGGAAUUGCGCCUGAUACUGGCGGGCUAGAGAUCGAUAGGGGUGAGUGGAACUCCAGGUGGAGCGGUGAAAUGCGUAGAUAUCACUUGGAACGCCAACGGUGAAAACAGCUCGCUGGGGAUGUGCUGACGCUGAGACACGAAAGCCAGGGGAGCGAACGGG
rnacentral:rRNA from 1 species